GGUACCGUCAAGACCCGGAGGGUAUUAUCCCCAGGUUUUUCUUUCCCGAUAAAAGUGCUUUACAACCCGCAGGCCUUCUUCACACACGCGGCAUUGCUGGAUCAGGCUUGCGCCCAUUGUCCAAUAUUCCCCA
rnacentral:rRNA from 1 species